rnacentral:rRNA from 1 species
UGACCUCGGAUGGGUAAGAGCAGAUG